GCUUACACAUGCAAGUCGAACGGUAACAGGAAAUAGCUUGCUAUUUUGCUGACGAGUGGCGGACGGGUGAGUAAUGCUUGGGAAUUUGCCUGAUGGUGGGGGACAACAGUUGGAAACGACUGCUAAUACCGCAUAAUGUCUACGGACCAAAGGUGGCCUCUAUUUAUAAGCUAUCGCUAUCAGAUGAGCCCAAGUGGGAUUAGCUAGUUGGUAAGGUAAUGGCUUACCAAGGCGACGAUCCCUAGCUGGUCUUAGAGGAUGACCAGCCACACUGGAACUGAGACACGGUCCAGACUCCUACGGGAGGCAGCAGUGGGGAAUAUCGCACAAUGGGGGAAACCCUGAUGCAGCCAUGCCGCGUGUGUGAAGAAGGCUUUCGGGUUGUAAAGCACUUUCAGCGAGGAGGAAAGGGUGUUGCCUAAUACGUAACAUCUGUGACGUUACUCGCAGAAGAAGCACCGGCUAACUCCGUGCCAGCAGCCGCGGUAAUACGGAGGGUGCAAGCGUUAAUCGGAAUUACUGGGCGUAAAGCGCGCGUAGGUGGUUAAUUAAGUCAGAUGUGAAAGCCCAGGGCUCAACCUUGGAACUGCAUUUGAAACUGGUUGACUAGAGUUCUGUAGAGGGUGGUAGAAUUUCAGGUGUAGCGGUGAAAUGCGUAGAGAUCUGAAGGAAUACCAGUGGCGAAGGCGGCCACCUGGACAGUAACUGACACUGAGGCGCGAAGGCGUG
rnacentral:rRNA from 1 species